AGCCCUAUCUAAGAACCAGGAAUUGGGGUCCCUAGCUUUAAAUCAGGGGUGUGUUGUUUCUCUGGGAUUUGCCUCAAGGCUUUUCAGCCUAUCUAGGCGAUAACCUCUCAAAAAUCGGAGCCAUUCUAGCGUCCAGGCCCAGGUUUGAGGCCAUGAUGACUCAACGCAGCAUCCCCUCCCCGUGACAAACAGCGGUCUCCGCCUAUCCCCAAUCAAUCUCAACCAGGCACUCUGGGCGCCAGGAUUCCCAGUGCUUAGCUGGUGGGUAAAGGGGCUCAUCCCCUUCCCCAUAACCCAGCAGGCUAGACGGCCUCUCCACCCAGUCUUCUGGAGUGCAGAGCUCUCGCCAGGAUUCUGCUCUCGAAGGCUUAGAAGGAUGUGACCUCCAAACCGGGAAUUUAAGACGCAAGAACCAGUCAGCGAAUGUGGCAGCCUAGUUCUCGAACAAAACCUCAAGGUUCAUCCACCUGCAGACUCUGGUGAACUCUCUUCCCUGUGCCUGGUGUUACACUAGAAGCUGAGAUCAAGGCAAUAGCAAGACCUUCAAGGCACCCAGAUCUGAAGUCUGCUUGAAAGCUGAACCAUGCCACAGCCAUGUUCUGCUUCCCUCCAGCUAGGAUUUUCAUUGUAUCUCUCUCCUCCACUGAGACUGGGACCUGCUCACAUCCCUCUGCAUCCUAAGAGCAUGUUCUUCCAUGGAAGGCAUGUUAUAGAAUGGGAUGUAUCAUUGGAGACGCAGAUGUUCCAGAAGAUGUUUUCGCUGGCUGGAAGAAAACAUAAGACUCAACAAGUUCAUCGCAAGGAUGUCCAAGUCAUCCAUUUGAAUGGGCCUACUGUGCCAGGCACGUCACUGUCUCUGACUUUCCGUUCCAGAGCUGAACAGCAUGGGUGACUCUACCAAGCACAUCCUGGAAACCUUUCAUCCACAAAGGUUGUACCAGGCUCAUCUUAUGAAGCUCAGGAAUAACGGCAGGUAUGGGCAACAAGAUCCUGUCGCUUUAUGGAAUUCAGUCUCUGCCAGGAAGGCAGACAUCAAGUUAGAAAUCAGCAGUAAGACUUGAGCAUAUGGAGAGAAUUAACCACUGCUAUGGGCUUGACCCAGGCAUCUGGAAGCUCCCCUCUCUAAAGAAGUGGAAACUGCUGAAAGAUGCUCAAUACAGUGCCAAGCCAAGAAGAGCCAUGCACCAUACAUAGAUCAUCAAAAAUGGCCGAGGAAGGCAAUUCUUUCUACCGUUCAUACUGCAGUCUCUGUACGUGUUGCUUAGUCUCUAGGCCCACCAUCUGUACAUUCAAACCCUCUUUUCGUUUCUCUUCUGACCCUUUUGAAAAAUAAUGUGAAAACGAAAACUGCUCUCCGGCGUGGCUGUGCCAAAUUCAUGAGACCCUCACACAAACUUCUCUUCUGUCCACACUUGAAGACAAUGGAUUCAGGGCAUUUAGAUGGGUGCUCAGCGAGCUUACAUGGGAUCCAGAGCCAGGUAGAUGUUCAAAGGCCAGGUUCCCAACACUUUCUUGAGGUUUCUCCCAUUCAGAUCUACAUUUCAUCAAGGGAUGUUUCAAUUAAAAACACUGCCCAUGAGCAGUAAAAUAAUUAUGAAUUAGUUUAUAAUAAAAUGAUUAUGAGUUAAUUCAUAAUUGCCCCAGGCCCCUCCAGCUGUUUUAAGUUGGUCUCUCAGAAGAUGUGAGUCGGGAAUUUGAAUUUUGUCAAGCUACGCAAGCGCAUCCCAUGGGUAGGAGAAUUUCUGAACUUCAGCCAACUUCCAUGCACUGGUAAGAGACUAAGUAGCAGGCAGAAACAGACGGCUGCUGAUACAGUCCUCUGUGUCCCAGCCACCGUCUUGGGUUGGUCUUCUCACCUGAUGACAUACUACAACCUUGGGAUUUUCAAACUGCAGAUUGUUUGGCCUCACAUUUGGGCAAGCUCUCUAGGCAGGGCCCAGGGAGCUGCAGACUUGAGCUGCAGCCGAUUGGUGGAAAGUGAGACUUUUUCAGAGGAAGUAAGAUAAGGCAGAACUCAGAAAAACAAACAUCCUGAGGCCGGUGUGCCAGAGGCCACUGGCAAAAUCUAUAGCCUACUGCUAAGUGAGUUAAACAAACACAUUACCCGGCCAUCCAGGAAACCUGAAGCAGAUGCCUGGAAGUAGGACAUGUGAUUGCAACCUGGGAAGAAAUAUCCCAGGGAGUGAUGGGGUGGGAUGAGGCACAGAGUGCACAGAAUAACAGCGGGAAUCUCCAGCAGGCAGUAUAGCCAAGACAGGCAGGUGGGAUUCCAGUCAUGGCGCUCAAAGCAAGUUUAAGCCUGGAGAGAGAAUUGUUAGAGAUGUUAGGGUCUGGGCCUCAGCAACCCUAACAAGCUAGGCUCAACCUCAGUAGGUUAAAGACACAAGAGUGAAAACCAGAGGAAGGGGAUUUAUUCAAAGCAAUCACAUCAUACAGAGAAGCAAAUCGGUCCAGUGACUCUCCCACCACAAGCGAGUCAAUCUCGGAAUACCGACAGGAGAUUUGGGUUUAAACCAAAGGUUAGAGUUAUGAGCAGACAAUAAGUGCUGAUCAAGGUGUGACCCUGACCACCGGUGUCUCAGCUUCAGUCUGUCUUGCAAGGUAGCCUGACCAGUAGUCAGAACUGCAUGGAAUCUCCUUCUAAACACAAGUUUCUUCUGCUGGCAAGAAGGUUCUAUGUAUCCUCUUCUCAGCAUUGGAUUUUUAAGCAAAUCCUGAUUUCUUGGAGACCAUUGUUUCAAUAGUCUGGGAGCCAAAGUCAAGGGCAAGAUGUCCUGUAGAGUAUCUUCAGUCCUGCCAGGACGUUCACACGAUCUAAUAACAUAAAGCUGUGUGCCUUUCUUUCUCCUGUCCAUGGAAGUGCCUGGUGGCAGCUACAGCCAGAGCAACAGUAAUGGAGACCCGCUGGCUCUGGCGAGCACUUACGAACUUUGGCAUGCUAAAAAGAUUGUGGUACUGCCUACCCACCCAUUAAAUCACAUGAAAAACCAGUUCUGGUUCAAAAUAAAAACGAAGGAAGUGUCCUCCCAACAACUUCAGCAA